UACGGAGGGUGCAAGCGUUGUCCGGAUUUAUUGGGUUUAAAGGGUGCGUAGGCGGACCGAUAAGUCAGUGGUGAAAGCCCGCGGCUCAACCGCGGAAUUGCCAUAGAUACUGUCGGUCUUGAGUUCGUCCGAGGUGGCUGGAACGCGUAGUGUAGCGGUGAAAUGCUUAGAUAUUACGCAGAACACCGAUUGCGAAGGCAGGUCACUGGGGCGCGACUGACGCUGAGGCACGAAAGUGCGGGGAUCAAACAGG
rnacentral:rRNA from 1 species